CGCCCUCCGUCAUUAAUCAUAUGAAGGGUCCUGCCUGCCCAGUGACAAAAAUUAAACGGCCGCGGUAUCUUGACCGUGCGAAGGUAGCAUAAUCACUUGUCUCCUAAAUAGAGACUGGUAUGAAUGGCAAGACGGAGCUAAACUGUCUCUUUUUUAAACCCUGAAAUUUACUAUCACGUGAAGAGGCGUGAAUACAAUCGUUAGACGAGAAGACCCUGUCGAGCUUAAAGUAAAAUAUAGAACUAUAUAUCAAGCCAAUAAUACUAAUUUUUAAAGUUAAAUUUGUACAACUUUUACUGUUUCUAUUACAAACUUUGGUUGGGGCAACCGCGAAGAAAAAAAAUCCUCCGCUACAAAAAAUUCUAAUAAAGGAAAAUAUUCCUAAUAUCAAAAAUGAAAGCACGAUCCACUUAGGUGAUCAAAGGAACAAGUUACCGCAGGGAUAACAGCGUAAUCUUUUUUAAGAGUCCACAUUGACAAAAAGGUUUGCGACCUCGAUGUUGGAUCGGGACAUCCCAAGGGUGCAAAAGCUCUUAAAGGUUGGUCUGUUCGACCAUUAAAGUCCUACGUGAUCUGAGUUCAGACCGGCGAAAGC
rnacentral:rRNA from 1 species